rnacentral:rRNA from 1 species
AUGAAAGCUUUAUUUUGGAAUAUUAGAGGGUUCGGCGCUAGGGGGCGUCGUGACCAAAUAAAAGAUCUGAUCUGCUCAAACCAUAUUGACUUCGUGGGGUUGGUUGAAACUUUUAAGGAGUCCUUUUCCCCUAAUGAACUUUCUGCCAUCGUGGGUAUGGAUAGAUUUGAUUGGCAUGUUUUACCUUCCUCGGGCCACUCGGGUGGGAUUUUGAUAGGCUCGAAUAAGGACAUCUUCGAUGUUGUUGCUUAUGACCAUGGGAUCUUUUGGGUUAGUGAUGUUCUCUGUUUUAAAGCGCGGAAUAUUCUAAUGGAGGUAAUAGUGGUUUAUGGGCCUGCUGAUCAUUCUAUUGCUCCUCUGUUUCUUAAUGAACUUUCUGUGAAGAUCGGAUCCUGUAACCUCCCGAUGGUUAUCGGGGAUGAUUUUAACCUUCUU